UAACAAGGAUUCCCCUAGUAACUGCGAGUGAAGCGGGAAGAGCUCAAAUUUAAAAUCUGGCGGUUCUGCCGUCCGAGUUGUAAUCUGGAGAAGCGUUUUCUGUGCUGGACCGUGCAUAAGUGUCUUGGAAUAGGACGUCAUAGAGGGUGAGAAUCCCGUCUUUGGCACGGACUACCAGUGCUCUGUGAUACGCUCUCAAAGAGUCGAGUUGUUUGGGAAUGCAGCUCAAAAUGGGUGGUAAAUUCCAUCUAAAGCUAAAUAUAGGCGAGAGACCGAUAGCGAACAAGUACCGUGAGGGAAAGAUGAAAAGCACUUUGGAAAGAGAGUUAAACAGUACGUGAAAUUGUUGAAAGGGAAACGCUUGAAGUCAGUCGCGUUGUCCAGGACUCAACCUUAGUUUUCUUUGGUGUAUUUCCUGGUUAACGGGUCAACAUCAAUUUUGAUCGGUGGAAAAAGGCGGCGGGAAUGUGGCACCCUCGGGUGUGUUAUAGCCUGUUGUUGUAUACACUGGUUGAGAUUGAGGAUAUCACGCCCUCGGCGGUAGGAUGUUGGCAUAAUGGCUUUAAGCGACCCGUCUUGAAACACGGACCAAGGAGUCUAACAUGCCUGCGAGUGUUAGGGUGGUAAACCCUUGCGCGUAAUGAAAGUGAAAGUUGGGACCUCUUUGAGGGCACCGACGCCCGGCCUUGAACUCUUGUGACGGUGCUGCGGUAGAGCAUGUGUGUUGGGACCCGAAAGAUGGUGAACUAUGCCUGAAUAGGGCGAAGCCAGAGGAAACUCUGGUGGAGGCUCGUAGCGAUUCUGACGUGCAAAUCGAUCGUCAAAUUUGGG
rnacentral:rRNA from 1 species